CAGCUGUUCAUUUGUUGUUGCUGUUAAGUUAAUUUUCUAUUUCUGUUGUUUUCUAUAUUCAAAACAAAUACAAUUUUCAAUUUAGCGAGGAGGAAUCUUUAAUUUCUGUUAAUCUACAGUUUUCAAGAAUACACAUAACCCAAUAAAGUCAAAAUGACAAAACUUCUAGAAUGGAUAUCAGUGACUUCAGCCAUCUUUGCAGUAUGGUACUCUCUCGUAGGAGGGUACGUCAAGCAUAAACUAAUUGAAGAAAACAUGACACUUGUGGUAAUAUCACCUAUAAUAUUUGUCAUACUGUUUGGCCUGUAUGCUGUUACCGUGGUCUUGUACAGAGUAUUUACCUUCAAUAACUGUGACGAGGCGGCCAAAGAGUUGCAGGCAGAGAUCAUAGAGGCAAAAAGGGAUUUACAUGAGAAGGGACUAAGGUUGUAGACAUUCCAUUUAAUUGUAUGUAGUUUUAAGAGUUAUUCCAUAUUUAUAUAUUAAUAAAGUGUUUUAUUCUUUA